CAUUUCAGCAUUUCUCAUUCUUUUUGUUCUAUUGAGAAUCCCCAAACAACCAAACUCAAUUCUUCCAGACUUCCAGUCUUCGAUAGUCUGACUUUGACUCUCUGCCGUUCUGCAAUUCAAUCUUGGAUUGAUGAUCUUGAAGCUGUGAAAGAUUAAAGAUGGAGAAAUUCUUUAAACGAACAUCAAACGAGUUAUCAUCACCCCUCAUAGAGAGUGAAAGAUCAAAACAGAGUUGUGUAGAAAUUGAUUUGGCUAAGCUUCCUUCCGAUCCUGGAGAAAGAACUAAGAUUUCAGAUUAUCAUCCCAAUCUUAGGGAUAAAAUUAGAAGAGAGUAUCUGCUAAGAGGUCCUUGUCAACCUAGUAAUCAUCAAUUCAUCCAAACACCGUGCGGAGAAGGGAAACGAAGGACUACGCGACUAUUUAAAUUCAGCAAUGUUACAAAUGCAGAAGACUGGCAUUACAACUAAAGUUCUAAGUUCUCACAUAACUAAAACAACAUGCG